rnacentral:rRNA from 1 species
AUUGAACGCUGGCGGCAGGCCUAACACAUGCAAGUCGAGCGGAUAAAGGGAGCUUGCUCCUGGAUUCAGCGGCGGACGGGUGAGUAAUGCCUAGGAAUCUGCCUGGUAGGGGGGGAUAACGUCCGGAAACGGGCGCUAAUACCGCAUACGUCCUGAGGGAGAAAGGGGGGGAUCUUGGGACCGCACGCUAUCAGAUGAGCCUAGGUCGGAUUAGCUAGGUGGUGGGGUAAAGGCUUACCAAGGCGACGAUCCGUAACUGGUCUGAGAGGAUGAUCAGUCACACUGGAACUGAGACACGGUCCAGACUCCUACGGGAGGCAGCAGUGGGGAAUAUUGGACAAUGGGCGAAAGCCUGAUCCAGCCAUGCCGCGUGUGUGAAGAAGGUCUUCGGAUUGUAAAGCACUUUAAGUUGGGACGAAGAGCAGUAAGUUAAUACCUUGCUGUCUUGACGUUACCAAAAGAAUAAGCACCGGCUAACUUCGUG